rnacentral:misc_RNA from 1 species
AUCUUUUUUUUUAUAUAUAUCAUAAUUUUUUUUUAAAGAGUGGGAUGUUUUAAAUACGAAAAUGGACGCAAAACCUCGCGAAACGCGAGGUUCGCCAUAAUUUGUAAUGAUCCUUCCGCAGGUUCACCUACGGAAA